rnacentral:rRNA from 1 species
UCAGACCUCUAAUCGGAAAAGACUACCCGCUGAGUUUAA